rnacentral:tRNA from 1 species
AGUUAUUGAACUUGAAUAAGUAUAUAUUUUGAAAAUAUAAAAAAGAAGUAUAAAUCUUCUAAUAACUU